rnacentral:rRNA from 1 species
AAUGAACGCUGGCGGCAUGCCUAACACAUGCAAGUCGAACGAGAUCCUUCGGGGUCUAGUGGCGCACGGGUGCGUAACGCGUGGGAAUCUACCCUUGGGUUCGGAAUAACAGUGAGAAAUCACUGCUAAUACCGGAUAAUGUCGCAAGACCAAAGAUUUAUUGCCCAAGGAUGAGCCCGCGUAAGAUUAGCUAGUUGGUGGGGUAAAGGCCUACCAAGGCGACGAUCUUUAGCUGGUCUGAGAGGAUGAUCAGCCACACUGGGACUGAGACACGGCCCAGACUCCUACGGGAGGCAGCAGUGGGGAAUAUUGGACAAUGGGCGAAAGCCUGAUCCAGCAAUGCCGCGUGAGUGAUGAAGGCCUUAGGGUUGUAAAAGCUCUUUUACCCGGGAAGAUAAUGACUGUACCGGGAGAAUAAGCCCCGGCUAACUCCGUGCCAGCCGCCGCAGUAAG